rnacentral:rRNA from 1 species
GACGAACGCUGGCGGCGUGCUUAACACAUGCAAGUCGAACGGAAAGGCCUCUUUCGGGGGGUACUCGAGUGGCGAACGGGUGAGUAACACGUGAGUAACCUGCCCUUGACUUUGGGAUAACUUCAGGAAACUGGGGCUAAUACCGGAUAGGAGCUCCUGCUGCAUGGUGGGGGUUGGAAAGUUUCGGCGGUUGGGGAUGGACUCGCGGCUUAUCAGCUUGUUGGUGGGGUAGUGGCUUACCAAGGCUUUGACGGGUAGCUGGCCUGAGAGGGUGACCGGCCACAUUGGGACUGAGAUACGGCCCAGACUCCUACGGGAGGCAGCAGUGGGGAAUAUUGCACAAUGGGUGGAAGCCUGAUGCAGCAACGCCGUGUGCGGGAUGACGGCCUUCGGGUUGUAAACCGCUUUCGCUCAUGACGAAGCUUUGUGUGACGGUAGUGGGUAAAGAAGCACCGGCUAACUACGUG